rnacentral:rRNA from 1 species
CAAAGGAGGCGACUCCGGUGACGGAUGGGCAUGCGGCGCAUUAGGUAGUUGGUAGGGUAACGGCCUACCAAGCCGACGAUGCGUAGGGGUUCUGAGAGGAAGGUCCCCCACAUUGGAACUGAGACACGGUCCAAACUCCUACGGGAGGCAGCAGUGAGGAAUAUUGGUCAAUGGCCGGAAGGCUGAACCAGCCAAGUCGCGUGAGGGAAUAAGGCCCUAUGGGUCGUAAACCUCUUUUGUCAGGGAGCAAAGGCGUCCACGUGUGGACGAGAGGAGAGUACCUGAAGAAAAAGCAUCGGCUAACUCCGUGCCAGCAGCCGCGGUAAUACGGAGGAUGCGAGCGUUAUCCGGAUUUAUUGGGUUUAAAGGGUGCGUAGGCGGAGUGUCAAGUCAGCGGUAAAAUUUCGGGGCUCAACCCCGUCGUGCUGUUGAAACUGACACCCUUGAGUGAGUGAGAAGUAAGCGGAAUGCGUGGUGUAGCGGUGAAAUGCAUAGAUAUCACGCAGAACGCCGAUUGCGAAGGCAGCUUACCGGCGCUCAACUGACGCUGAGGCACGAAAGUGCGGGUAUCGAACAGGAUUAGAUACCCUGGUAGUCCGCACAGUAAACGAUGAAUGCUAGAUGUCCGGGGCGAAUGAGCUCUGG